rnacentral:rRNA from 1 species
AGAGUUUGAUCCUGGCUCAGAUUGAACGCUGGCGGCAUGCCUUACACAUGCAAGUCGAACGGCAGCGCGGGGCAACCUGGCGGCGAGUGGCGAACGGGUGAGUAAUAUAUCGGAACGUACCCUGGAGUGGGGGAUAACGUAGCGAAAGUUACGCUAAUACCGCAUACGAUCUAAGGAUGAAAGUGGGGGAUCGCAAGACCUCAUGCUCCUGGAGCGGCCGAUAUCUGAUUAGCUAGUUGGCGGGGUAAAAGCCCACCAAGGCAACGAUCAGUAGCUGGUCCGAGAGGACGACCAGCCACACUGGAACUGAGACACGGUCCAGACUCCUACGGGAGGCAGCAGUGGGGAAUUUUGGACAAUGGGCGCAAGCCUGAUCCAGCAAUGCCGCGUGAGUGAAGAAGGCCUUCGGGUUGUAAAGCUCUUUUGUCAGGGAAGAAACGGUGGGGGC